AACGCACAUUGCGCCCUGUGGUAUUCCGCAGGGCAUGCCUGUUCGAGCGUCAUUAUAACCACUCACGCCUGGCGUGGUGUUGGGACCCGCGGUACCGCGGUCCUCAAACCUAGUGGCGGUGCCCGUAGGCUCUAAGCGUAGUAAUACUCCUCGCUAUAGGGUCCUGCGGGUUACCCGCCAGAACCCCCAAAUUUUUCAGGUUGACCUCGGAUCAGGUAGGGAUACCCGCUGAACUUAA
rnacentral:misc_RNA from 1 species